AUGGCUUUCGAGACAAUGCUCUUUGUUCGUUGUGUUCGUAUAUAGGCGGCGCGAUGGUAUAACUUCAACGGCAUUUCCAAAUACCCAUUUAUUGCAGGAAAAAAUGUUUUUUCUUUUGGCAGCAGUUUUCCUUCUGCUAUCAAUGAUGCAUGGAGGACGCCGGUCAUCUGCUUUAGCAGCGCACUGCCCCGCUAAAGUUUGGAAAGAUCCUUUCAAUCGACACCAACCGCGACCACCUACUCCUCCAAACGGUUCAACAAGACGCCCUCCUAUUCCACACGGCCUUCGGAAUGGGCCAAAGCCUGGCGGCUAAAACCGUAUCAUUCGUGGUGGAACCAAAUACCAACGUCGAUGCGGAACUCCAAGAAAUACAGCUCUGCAGUCCUGCUCAGCACGACAUGAAUAAACAAUAAAUAUUGUUUUAACACGUCAUAAAAUGAA